AGACCCGAAACCCGGUGAUCUAGCCAUGGGCAGGUUGAAGGUUGGGUAACACUAACUGGAGGACCGAACCGACUAAUGUUGAAAAAUUAGCGGAUGACCUGUGGCUGGGGGUGAAAGGCCAAUCAAACCGGGAGAUAGCUGGUUCUCCCCGAAAGCUAUUUAGGUAGCGCCUCGUGAAUUCAUCUCCGGGGGUAGAGCACUGUUUCGGCUAGGGGGCCAUCCCGGCUUACCAACCCGAUGCAAACUGCGAAUACCGGAGAAUGUUAUCACGGGAGACACACGGCGGGUGCUAACGUCCGUCGUGAAGAGGGAAACAACCCAGACCGCCAGCUAAGGUCCCAAAGUCAUGGUUAAGUGGGAAACGAUGUGGGAAGGCCCAGACAGCCAGGAUGUUGGCUUAGAAGCAGCCAUCAUUUAAAGAAAGCGUAAUAGCUCACUGGUCGAGUCGGCCUGCGCGGAAGAUGUAACGGGGCUAAACCAUGCACCGAAGCUGCGGCAGCGACGCUGAUGCGUUGUUGGGUAGGGGAGCGUUCUGUAAGCCUGCGA
rnacentral:rRNA from 1 species